CACCUACAAUACAUUGAGUACAAUAGUAUCAGUCAUUAUACCCAUAAAACCUAGCGCUAAACCCCGGAAAUAGUUCUAAUAUUUUUUAAACAUUAAUUUUUGCGUCUGGGAUUUUAGAACUAUUUCAUAUAAACUCUGUGUUUCAUAUUGGCUUAACCUGGCACGACAUUUUGGAUAACCGCGCAAAUCUCUCAGACAUGGUAAAUUGUAUCUAUAUAUUCACGGGUAAUUACCUCCCAAAAUGAAAUGCCAAUGGGACUUUCAUAAAGAACUACACGUCUUGUCGCAAAGUAUGACGUCAAACCCUCAAGGCACCGUUCUCCACGCAAACUCAUCGACAAGUAGCCUAGCAAGAAACAGAUAUUAUAGGCGUUUCAGUUUCUCGUGUGUAUAUCGUUCAGCAUUUUUUUUUAAAUUGCAUAGCUUGCUACCUUAGCGUCUUUAAAUGACUAUAAUUUAUUAAGUUACCCUCUGCCUUUGUAGAUAACUAGCUGUGCUAUGUAACGUUACCGGAUUGUAACCACUACUCCAAUAAGUACAUGUUAUCCAACCUCUAAGUGAGAGGCAUCGCUAGAGCUGUGUGAUAAGAUGGACGGACCGGAAACCCAGUGACAACACUCGAGUCUGUAGCUGCCAUUUUCCAGUGGGAAAGAGAUGGCUCUGUAUUUACCAGAGGAGGUAGUUCAUCCAUCAUGGUGGAUGAGGAAGAUCCAGACUGUGUAUAGGCAAACAAGAACAAACAAAUAGGAUUGAGUGUCCAACAGGAGUGAAUCCCCCAGGCUAUCCGGUGCAUGGACAUCCUGUGGCAGUGUGAUCCGGUUGUGGAGGCGACAGCAGAU